GGCCGUCAUUUUGUGAGCACCGCCUCGGUUCCUUCGUGUGCCCCGUCUAGAUGCGCGCGCCACGUCGCACUCUGCCAUCAAGGUAGGUGCCCACUUUCCAUAGCUGGACUGGAUGCAG
rnacentral:lncRNA from 1 species